UCCUCACAAGCACCAGAACCUCUCAUCUCUUUCUUUCUCUUUGCUGCUCGUGCCCCAUGGCCGCCGCCGCCACCCCCUGCAUGGCAUGGCCCUAGGGCUGGCGCCCCCUCCUAUUCUCUGCUGCUCGUGCCUCCUUCCCUCCGCUCUCCACAGCAGCUAGAUCUGGGCGCGAUAGAGGGAGUUUGCAUUGUGGAUCUACAGUGGAUGUGUGGUGAGGAGAAGACAACGCCAUGAACUGCGAUUGGGCAGAUCUUGUUGCUGGCCGACUUGCUAUGCUGCAGGAGAAGGCACUAGUACCCAGCCCACAGUGGCAGCCUCACCCACCAAGCAAAAGACUGCAGCCAACAAAAGUCCUGCAAGGAAGCUGGCACGGCGGCACCUAAGAGACUGAAGAUUAAUUGAGCUGUCAACUCCAAGUCUUAGCAAUUUAUGUACCUGUGAACUUUGUGUUUGUGAUCUAAAUGUACAUGUCAACUAAGUAUUUGUGAGCUACUUGUGAACUCA